GAGGCCCCUGGGUGGGACCGCCGGGUGACCUGGGUGACCUCCCCGUUGGUUCCCCAGAGUGGCUGGGGACGUGGUCUACUUACUAACGCAACCUCAAACCGCCUCGCCUCGUUCAGCGAGUACAAAGGGAGGCGUCGGAUCGACCUUCGCCCGCAUUGGCGGGUGUAAGUGGUUACUCCAGUGUCGUGUACGGACGAACUUGUAAUUUAAAGUGACCCGCAAGGAAUCUGGAGACGGUUGCUUUACAGUAUUUUUAGAAAACAGGAAUGUGAACUACUUCAGUUCCAAGGGAGAAAAGAAAGUUCCCCGAGAGCCUGUGAUUCCCAGAGUAGCCCCAGCCAGUGGUUGAAUUUUGCCCAUGGAGAAGGUGACUGGAAUGUUCACCAGGAUUGAGAAACAUCGCUCAAAUCAAGAUACCUGACCUCUCUGCUCCUCACCUUCACCUUUGUGACUAGGCUGCUUCCAGGGAAACGUCCCUCUUCAAUAUUCAACAGGGAUCUAAAAUGCUGUAACCAACUUUGAAAUCUUUAAACACUAAUUGAUGGUAUGGUUCUGAUCAUCUAGUAUGCAAUUGUGUCAGAUAGUAUCAAGUGGGGAAUGCUUCAAUUAUUUCAAAGUAAAAAUGGAAAAAAAAUAAAACCUAAUUGGUAAUAUGCUUCAUCAAAACACUGAGCUUCAGUGAAAUCAUCACCUGUAUUUGUAAUGACUUGAGAGUAAUGUAAGACUAUUUCUUAAUGUAACAUUUUUCUAAUAUUUAGAGAAUCUUCCACCAUGCUUCUCCGGUAA